rnacentral:tRNA from 1 species
GCCUGUUUGGCUCAGUGGAUAGAGCAUCGGCCUGCAGGUCCCAGAUUUGAUUCAGGUCAAGGGCAAAUGCCCAGGUUGUGGGCUCGAUUCCCAGUAGGGGGCG